rnacentral:rRNA from 1 species
UCGUGGCAUGAGUCGUCAUUUUUGAAUGUUAAUUCGGGUAACGAGCGAGACCUCCGUGGGGCAAAGAUUUCUGAGAGUUGGCGGGCACCUGUGGUGUGUGCGCUCGGCCCAGACACGAACGUCGAAAAGACAUGGGAAGUGGGAGGCUAUAACA